rnacentral:snoRNA from 1 species
GCCGAUGAUGAGCAGCUUCUCUGAUCGAUGAUGAACCCUAUGAGUACUGAGG